rnacentral:misc_RNA from 1 species
AAAGUCGUAACAAGGUUUCCGUAGGUGAACCUGCGGAAGGAUCAUUACUGAGUAUUUGUCUUUUAAAGACAUCUCUCUAUCCAUAAACUCUUUUUUCUAAAAAGACAUGAUUUACACAAUUAGUCUGAAUGAUUAUAUAAAAAUCUUCAAAACUUUCAACAACGGAUCUCUUGGUUCUC